rnacentral:rRNA from 1 species
UACGAAGGGUGCAAACGUUGCUCGGAAUUAUUGGGCGUAAAGCGCACGUAGGCGGCUUUGCAAGUCGGAUGUGAAAUCCCUCGGCUCAACCAAGGAAGUGCAUCCGAAACUGCAGAGCUUGAGUACUUAAGAGGAUCGCGGAAUUCCCGGUGUAGAGGUGAAAUUCGUAGAUAUUCGCAAGAACACCAGUGGCGAAGGCGGCUCACUGGCCCGAUACUGACGCUGAGGUGCGAAAGCGUGGGGAGCAAACAGG